rnacentral:lncRNA from 1 species
AAUGGUUGGUUGGAAAAUAACUAAAAAGUAAAAGUGGUUAGAUAAAUUCUAAUUGAAUUCUGUAUUGGAUUCGACUGGAUGCGAAUAUGAAUAUUAAAAUUUAGCAUUUGACGUAUAUACGUAUUAAAAUUCACAUUUGAAUUUUUUUUUUAAAAAAUGGGGUAAUUACUUAUAUAUUUUCAACUUUUUUAUUAACCCCCUCUAAUUAGAAGGCUAAUAUUAAAAAUACUUCCUUAGUAUUUCAAAUUAUUUCAAAUAUAUAUCUUUCUAUCGCCACCAACUUUUUUUAUUUACCUUCAAGUUAGGGACAAAAAAAGUAUUUUGAGUUUUGUCUUCUCUUUUGUCCAAUCAUUCCCUUUGAGAAAGUCAUCACCAACUUUUCUUAUUUACUAUUAAGUUAGGGCAAAAGAGAUAUUUUGAUUUUUUUUUUUUUUUAACUCUAGUAGAAAUUUGACCCGUGUUUAACUCAAGAUAACUUAACGGGUACUAAUAACGGAAUAUUUUUGAAUAAUGGAGAAAUAUACGAGAGGUAUAUUUGAAAUAUAAAAAAGUAGGGAUACAUUAGAUAUUUCAGAAAUUUUCAGGGGUAUAUUAGAUAUUAUUUCUAAAAAAAUAUGGAUGUAAAUAUGGUCUCUUAAAAUAUCGACUGUAUUCGACUGAUUUGACCCCUUAAAGAUAAGACGGAAGUUAAUAUAAAUUAUAGGAAAAUAAAGCAGUUUUAUCACGUUCUUCCUUUAUUUUAUUAUAAAUUUCAUAAUAAAAUUGUAUUUGUAUUUGUUAAAAUAUUAAAUUUUAUUGAAUAAAAUAUAGGUAUAUCGAGUUUAUAAAUUUCAUAAUAAAAUUGUAUUUGUAUUGGUUAAAAUAUUAAAUUUUAUUGAAUAAAAUAUAGAAAUAUAGGUAUAAGGAGUUUAAACAUGAGUGUGAACCUUUAAUUUUAUUAUGUCUUAUUCGUGCUAAUUUUACUUUAUAUUUAUAUAUUCAUAUUAGUAUAUAUUAUUAUCUGAAUAUAUCGGAAUACAAAUCCGACUUAUAUCUGAAUCCGAAUCCGUUUUUAGCUGAUAUGAUAACAAAAAUUUGGCACUCGACAUAUAUCUGCAUCC